rnacentral:rRNA from 1 species
UACGGAGGGUGCAAGCGUUGUCCGGAUUUAUUGGGUUUAAAGGGUGCGUAGGUGGGCAAGUAAGUCUGGUUUGAAAGCAAGUGGCUCAACCAUUUGAUGUGGCUGGAAACUGUUUGUCUUGAAUGGAUUGGCGGUAGCCGGAAUGGGUCAUGUAGCGGUGAAAUGCAUAGAUAUGACCCGGAACACCGAUUGCGAAGGCAGGCUACUACGAUUUGAUUGACACUGAGGCACGAGAGCAUGGGUAG